AUUGAACGCUGGCGGCAUGCUUUACACAUGCAAGUCGAACGGUAACAGGCCUUCGGGUGCUGACGAGUGGCGAACGGGUGAGUAAUGCAUCGGAACGUGCCCAGAGGGGGGGGAUAACGCAGCGAAAGCUGUGCUAAUACCGCAUGUGAUCUGAGGAUGAAAGCGGGGGACCAGGCAGCAAUGUUUGGCCUCGCGCCUUUGGAGCGGCCGAUGUCAGAUGAGGUAGUUGGUGGGGUAAAGGCCUACCAAGCCGACGAUCUGUAGCUGGUCUGAGAGGACGACCCGCCACACUGCGACUGAGACCCGGCCCAGCCUCCUACGCGAGGCACCAGUGGGGAAUUUUGGUCAAUGGGCGCAAUCCUGAUCCAGCAAUGCCGCGUGCUGGAAGAAGUCCUUCGGGUUGUAAACCGCUUUUGUACGGAACGAAAAGGCUCUGGCUAAUACCUGGGGCUGAUGACGGUACCGUAAGAAUAAGCACCGGCUAACUACGUG
rnacentral:rRNA from 1 species